UAUCAACCCUGAUAAGAUCAUCCAUAUUGUAUUUUAAUUUUUCACAUCCAUCACAUGGAUUAUCCUGAUCGAGAUUUUACUGAAUUGAAACACACUGAUACAUUAACUCCUACUUAUUUGGAGGGGUCAAUUUCAUUUUGACUCAUACACUGACUUCACAAGUACUUGACUGUGUCCAAAAAUCUUUCAUUAUUGAAUUAGAAUUUAGGUAGUUCAACACUAAAGCAUAGUGAGUUGUUUGCAAGUCACCAUGGUGAUCUC
rnacentral:lncRNA from 1 species